UUCAAGGGAACUCAUGGCACCAUAACCACUACAGUGCUCGGUAGUGGUUAUGGUGCUUGAAGUGCCCCAAAA